CCCGGGCUAGUCCGUGCUGUUUUUUUCUUUCUUUGUGAAAGCGGGUCGGCGGUGAGAUCGGGAUGCGGAGGGGGUUCUCGCCGUCUUGGACGGGGUGCCGAAGACACUGCGGGGCAACACCAAAAAUGUUCUUUCGUUAGACAUGUGAUGAGAGAUUUAUUGGAAGAAAAUCCCCAAAUGGAAGCAAACCAUGACUGAAGACGAGUGAAACAGCCCGAGGAUUGAGAACAUCAACUGGAGAGAACCCAACUGACUUGGAGAUUCCAUUGAUAUAGUCAGGAGAAAGUUUGGUUAAAAAUGACAAGGAAUUUGUCUGUGGAAAUUCAAACAUAGCACCCCAGUUUUGCUGUCUCGGUCUAGAUAUUUAAGAAGUGGAGCAAGGGAUUUACUCGAUCAUCCUUCCUGCUCAUACUGUGGAGAGGGAUUCACUUGGUCAUCUGACUAACUGGCACGCCCAUCAUUUUACACAGGGGAGAGGCCAUUCACCUGCUCAGACAGUGGGAGUGCAUUCACUCGGUCAUCUCAACUGAAGGAAUCCUUCUGUUUCUGGGAAGAGGUCUCCAACUCUCAGUCAGGUGCUCGAUAUUUCCUUUUCACCAUCUCAUCUGCUCAGAUCAUUGGGAUGUCUCCCAUGGAGGGUCAUACUCAUU